UCCAUAAGAAGUUGUUUUGUGUUUAAAGAUUUUUUUUGUGAAAUAUAAGAAAGGAAUUUACGGAGAGACUCUGUAACGUGUUGUUUAUGCAUUUUUGAGCUAACGAUGACACUAAUAAGAAGUUGCAGUUGAUUUGUGGCUGUUAGUGAGCUCUUUGUGAUAAUUUUAACAUAUCAAGACUGACACGUAUCCAACAAAAUUUUAGAAUUUAAUUCUACUUCGAUAGUUUUGAGUUGGAGACACGCAAAAUUUUCUUUCGCAUUUUAUUCCUAAAAAAGAAAGAAAAAAAUGAAAGUAACAUUAAUAUUUUUGGCUGUCAUCUGCUUUUGUUUUGCGGUGCAGGAUUCAAAAUGGGAAGAGUUUAAAAAUACGUACAAGAAAAAUUAUAAAGAUGCUGAGGAGGAAAAAUAUAGAAGAGGAAUUUACGAAGAAAAUAUGAAAAAAAUUGAGGAACAUAAUAAAAAAUAUGAGAAUAAAGAGGUGACGUGGUUCAUGGCAGUAAAUAAUUUCACUGAUAUGACAUCGGAGGAAGUUUUGAAAUUACACACGGGAUUGAAUACAAAAUUUGACGACGAGUUAUAAUUAAAUUAUUUAUUAAAUUUUUAUUUUCUAAAAAAAAUAUUUUUUAAAAAUCUUGAUCAUUUGCUCCAUAAAAACGAAACCGAACUAAACAACAAUAAUAACGAAACUGACCAUGAAGAACACAAACACGAAGAAAAAAAAGAAGAAAAGAAAGACGAGAAAAAAGGAAAAAAUGAUGCUUCAAUGGUAAUGUUAUCGACAGUAAUCGUCAUUUUAUCAACGAUUUUUGCAAUUAUUUUAAGUUAAUUCCAUUUCAAGGCAAAAUCAUUGGAAAAUUACGAAACAAAUGAACUAGA